rnacentral:rRNA from 1 species
GAUGAACGCUGGCGGCGUGCUUAACACAUGCAAGUCGAACGGAAAGGCCCAAGCUUGCUUGGGUACUCGAGUGGCGAACGGGUGGGUAACACGUGGGUGAUCUGCCCUGCACUUCGGGAUAAGCCUGGGAAACUGGGUCUCAUACCGGAUAGGACGAUGGUUUGGAUGUCAUUGUGGAAAGUUUUUUCGGUGUGGGAUGAGCUCGGGGCCUAUCAGCUUCUUGGUGGGGUAUUGGUCUACUAAGGCGUCGCCGGGUAGCCGGCCCGAGAGGGUGUACGGCCAGAUUGAGACUGAGAUGCGGGCCAGAAGCCGACGGGAUGCAGCAGUGGGGAAUAUUGCACAAUGGGCGCAAGCCUGAUGCGACGACGCCGCGUGGGGGAUGACGGCCUUCGGGUUGUAAACACCUUUCGCGAGGGACGAAGCGUUUUUGUGACGGUACCUGAAGAAGAAGGACCGGCUAACUACGUG